rnacentral:ncRNA from 1 species
UGAAAACAAACAAUCCGAAUUGAAGAACCUACGGUUUACUAUGGUUUUUCAAUCGUUAGAGUCUCGUUAGAAAUGACGAUGCUUUCCAGUGUGUAGAGGAUGGUUAACGCAGAAUUU